rnacentral:rRNA from 1 species
AACGAACGUUGGCGGCGUGGAUUAGGCAUGCAAGUCGCACGAGAAAGUCCCCUUCGGGGGGCGAGUAAAGUGGCGGACGGGUGAGUAACGCAUGGAUAACCUGCCUUCGAGAGAGGGAUA